rnacentral:tmRNA from 1 species
GGGGAUGUAACGGUUUCGACGGGGGUGCGGAGCCAGGAUAAGCGGGCGGUGGCGCCUGGCCACCUUAAAACGGGCAAUUUAUAAAUUAAAGAACAACGAUAAUACCGUUGCCGUCGCUGCCUAAGUCAGCGACCGUCUGAACCGGAGAGGCCGCAGGCCGGGGAAGGCGUCGUUUAUGCGGCGUCCGUGCGGCGGGAAAGAGUUGACCCGCCCACGCAUUAUGACUCUACUGAACCGUAACGUCUGUUAAGUGCCGUUGCGGGGAGGGAAUGUUUAAAUCUUAACUGCGCCCGGAGAAAAUCCUGAGGAAGUGCUUUCGGACAGGGGUUCGACUCCCCUCAUCUCCACCA